rnacentral:lncRNA from 1 species
CCGGCCACCGAUGAGCAUGAUGUGCCACACGGCCCUCCGGUUUCUUCCGCUGACGUUGAUGACGACCAGGUCAGCCUCUUCCGCCCGAUAGCCACCACCCUCUGCCACUUCUUCGCCAGCCGAGCGAGUGUCUUGGCACUCAUCAUGGUGGCUUAUUUGUGUUUCUGGAAGCGGGAGAAAUUCUUCUGCGAGAGGGAGCUUGGAAUGCCUUUAUCUGUGGAUGAAGUGGUGGUGAGGGCACUUAGCCAUGGAUUUAUAGAUCAAGGGUAAAGCGAGCGCCCACAUGGUGGAGCACGUGAUGGUUGGGCAGGGAGACAAUGUUGUGGGCAUGGAGGCAUGGUGUAUGUGCUGCUGCCGUUUUGGAGGUGCCAUGAUGAGAUCUGGAUCAGGUUCUGCUGGGGCCAAGUGUUUGGCACUUGCCAGAGCUUGGGCUGGACGUCUCGCCUACACACGUCGUGAUGGGUUUGCUGGGGAAAUGGCAUGAGGAGCCCAUGAGGGUCUCUAGCCGAACCACAUUUCAGACAUGGAUAGUGCUUGAAAAUCUCACCAAAAUCAUUCAUCACACUGUCUGCAGCUAGUUGCAACAACACUGCAUGAAGAGCACUCAUGGCAUUGUCCCCUGCCCAACGCUCUCGUUGAUAGCUACACACAACCCACACGCAUAUGCACUUCCCUGAGCCCUCUCCCCCUUCUACUAUAAAUCCAUGGCCUGCUCAACACAGACUUCAUCUCAUAUGCAAGCCACAUCACAAUCUACAACACGCCUUCUGAGUUUCAGUGCCAAACUGAAAUUUAGCCAGUCAGGAACACAUCGGACUCAUCAACCAUGAUCCAUCCAAAGAAACUUGCUCAGCUGGCCAAGAAGUGCCAGCGGAUGUUGGUUGCCAGAGCCGGAGCCCAACGCCAGCAGCAUGCCUCAGACACGGCCGACGACGAGUGCUGCAGCACAACGUCGUCUGUGGUUGCCGAUGAGGGCCACUGCGUGGUGUAUGCCACCGACGGAGCACGGUUUGAGGUCCCUCUGGUGUACCUUGGGACGACGGUCUUCGCCGAGCUCCUGAGGAUGUCCGAAGAGGAGUUUGGCUUUGCAAGCGGUAGCGAUGGAGGCAGGAUCACGCUGCCCUGCGAUGCCACGGUGAUGGAGUAUGUCUUGUGCCUGGUCAGGAGAGAGGCCUCUGAGGAGGUCGAGAGGGCGUUCUUGAGCUCCAUUGCUGAGCAUGGCCACAGCUACUGUGCUAGCUGCGUGGCACCAUCGAUGGGACUCAACCAUCAAUUUGCUCUCUGUGCUUAGGUACUAGUUUAGCUAGUGAAAUAUUUCUUUUGGUUACGUCCGAGAGGAGUUCUGUGGAGUCUGAUGUAAGAUUCGUUUGUCACAGGAAAUGUAGAUAAGAGACAAUUUUCAUGGGAAAAAUACAUUAUUUGUCACAUCCUUUAACAUAGUUCAUACUAAAGUUGAGACACAUAUUUUGGGACAGAGGGAAGAAAUUGGAAGGAAACCAUGGGCCUAUAGUUGUCAACAGUUUUUCUUUUUCAGAUGAGAAGCUGACUUAGUUGGAACUUGCGAUUGUACUUGAAUGCGUGUUCUUAACAUUUUUAUUAGGUGCGAAAGGGACGGUCUUAAUUGAUGCAGCACAGACAACUUGUGGAACAGUGUCAUAUCUUAGUUCUUGAUGGCCUACCUAACUUGUGGGCAGUAGCCAUUCCUUAGCUCCUUCUCUGCACAUCCCUUUGGGCCUUCAGCCAGCUGCAUGUCUGAAGAUUCUGAAUAUAUAACAGGCAUCUACUAAAUCUUGUGUCGACACUUUCUGUAAAGUUCUGUGGGUAGAACAUUAAGCAAUUCAGUAACAGCUAAACAUCAGUGUCUUUUACCCCCCAAAAUAAAUCUCCUUGUGGAGUACUGCCUGCUUUCUCUUCCAUUUUGUAAUUUUUAUCCUACUUCUUGUAUUGAUGGUUUCUAAAUAUUUUCCUGAUGGUUCAUCCUAAAAUGGCUCCUGUACCACCUGGCCAGUUCACUAAUUCACAAAUUCUUGAUCAUUGUAAUGUCCUGGUUUAGAUGAUAGAUUGCAUGGAACCAUUGACAUCUGUGCAGCAGUAUGAAACCAUUGACAUUUAAAAAUAGAGAAGAAUUGCUGCAAGUGCUGGUUGACCACAUUCCUGCUGGUUGUUGCUUUGAUGAUCACAUUGCUCUACAUACAAUUUUCCUUCUCCUAUUGUGUGUUAUCUAACUCUCUUACACUAUCCAGGCAAACUGCUCAAGACAGAAGACAUCAUCAGCGUCUACGCCUGCUGUUCUUCAGCAGCUACAAACAGCAAAUCUGUUUGCUGGCUCCAACGGUAGGCAUCAUCACACAGCCUGUGUAAUGGCAAGGCGUCACCAUAGAGCUAGGCACCGCCUUCUCGACCUCGGCAGAGGCAUUCCUCCUCAGCAAGCACAUGACGUACUCCAUCACCGUGGCGUCACAGGGCAGCGUGAUCUCGC